rnacentral:lncRNA from 1 species
GUACAGUGUUAUGGUGAACAGUGAGGAGUGGAGCCCUGACGUAGCCUCUCGUACGUGCCCGCCAGGCCAUCAUCAUGAAGACCGGUGUCGCACUGAUCUUCCUGGCCGCUCUGAUGGCCGUGCGUGCCGACGGACCUGAGAUCGGAGGAACUGCUGGCGGAACUGUCGAUCUUUUCCAAAACCCUUUUACGAACAUUUUGAACCUGAAUGCCAAUGCUGUAACCUUCCACAAGCCGCGACCUGGUUUCGUGACAAGCGGAACUGCAAUCGGCUUCUCCUCGGGCUUGGUGGUCGAAGGGGAAGGUGUCAGCACAAGCGAUCUGAACACCUUCGGACACACAGACUUCAACUCGCGCCCAUUGCGGUAGAGACACGAUACCCUGUAUGCUGCGAUGAAGACAUUGCCUUGGUUUACAACCUUGAGGUUUUCGGGAAUGUAUCUUGCGUCCACAGACGUGGGUGAAACCUCUGAGUAAUUCACCAAUAAAAUGAUUUAAAUGGACCAUGCUGUGCUGUCUUGUAAACGAACGAAUACAGACUAUAGUGUA